rnacentral:rRNA from 1 species
AUUGAACGCUGGCGGCAUGCCUUACACAUGCAAAUCGAACGGUAACGGGCCUUCGGGUGCCGACGAGUGGCGAACGGGUGAGUAAUACAUCGGAACGUGCCCGAUCGUGGGGGAUAACGAGGCGAAAGCUUUGCUAAUACCGCAUACGAUCUACGGAUGAAAGCAGGGGACCGCAAGGCCUUGCGCGGACGGAGCGGCCGAUGGCAGAUUAGGUAGUUGGUGGGAUAAAAGCUUACCAAGCCGACGAUCUGUAGCUGGUCUGAGAGGAUGAUCAGCCACACUGGGACUGAGACACGGCCCAGACUCCUACGGGAGGCAGCAGUGGGGAAUUUUGGACAAUGGGCGCAAGCCUGAUCCAGCCAUGCCGCGUGCAGGAUGAAGGCCUUCGGGUUGUAAACUGAUUUUGUACGGAACGAAAAGCCUUCUUUUAAUACAGGAGGGUCAUGACGGUACCGUAAGAAUAAGCACCGGCUAACUACG